rnacentral:misc_RNA from 1 species
GAUGAAGAACGUAGCGAAAUGCGAUACUUGGUGUGAAUUGCAGAAUCCCGUGAACCAUCUAGUCUUUGAACGCAAGUUGCGCCUCAAGCCAUUAGGUUGAGGGCACGUCUGCCUGGGCGUCACAUAUCGUUGCCUGAUGCCAGUUUCCUCGUGAUGGGUGACUGUGCAGGGCGAAUGAUGGCUUCCCGUGAGCAUUGUUGCCUCAUGGUUGGUUGAAAAUUGAGUCCUUGGUAGGGAGCGCCGUGAUAGAUGGUGGUUGAGUGACGAACGAGACCCAAUCAUGUGAGACCCCUACCGAAUUUGGCCUUCAUGACCCACAUGCGUCUUUGGAACGCUCAUGACGAGACCUCAGGUCAGGCGGGGCUACCCGCUGAGUUUAAGCAUAUCAAUAAGCGGAGGA